rnacentral:rRNA from 1 species
GAUGAACGCUGGCGGCGUGCCUAAUACAUGCAAGUCGAGCGAACAGGCGAGGAGCUUGCUCCUUCGACGUUAGCGGCGGACGGGUGAGUAACACGUAGGUAACCUACCUAUGAGACUGGGAUAACUUCGGGAAACCGGAGCUAAUACCGGAUAAUAUUUCGAACCGCAUGGUUCGAUAGUGAAAGAUGGCUUUGCUAUCACUUAUAGAUGGACCUGCGCCGUAUUAGCUAGUUGGUAAGGUAACGGCUUACCAAGGCAACGAUACGUAGCCGACCUGAGAGGGUGAUCGGCCACACUGGAACUGAGACACGGUCCAGACUCCUACGGGAGGCAGCAGUAGGGAAUCUUCCGCAAUGGGCGAAAGCCUGACGGAGCAACGCCGCGUGAGUGAUGAAGGUCUUCGGAUCGUAAAACUCUGUUAUUAGGGAAGAACAAACGUGUAAGUAACUGUGCACGUCUUGACGGUACCUAAUCAGAAAGCCACGGCUAACUACGUG